AUUGAACGCUGGCGGCAGGCCUAACACAUGCAAGUCGAGCGAGCGGCGGACGGGUGAGUAAUGUCUGGGAGACUGCCUGAUGGAGGGGGAGAACUACUGGAAACGGUAGCUAAUACCGCAUACCCUCGGAUGUGCCCAGAUGUGAUUAGCUCGUAGGUGGGGUAAUGGCUCACCUAGGCGACGAUCCCUAGCUGGUCUGAGAGGAUGACCAGCCACACUGGAACUGAGACACGGUCCAGACGCCGACGGCAGGCAGCAGUGGGGAAUAUUGCACAAUGGGCGCAAGCCUGAGGCAGCCAUGCCGCGUGUGUGAAGAAGGCCUUCGGGUUGUAAAGCAAUUUCAGCGGGGAGGCGUUACCCGCAGAAGAAGCACCGGCUAACUCCGUGCCAGCAGCCGCGGUAAUAC
rnacentral:rRNA from 1 species